rnacentral:lncRNA from 1 species
GUCUCUCUCUCUCUCUCUCUCUCUCUCUCUCUCUUUAUAUUAUAUAUAUAUAUAUAUAUGGAGAAAUAAUUAAGUUGAAAAUUAAAUUGGCCCAAAGAAGAAACAAUAUUAAUGAUCGAUUACCUCCGUAUAAGCUGAAUAAUCAUACCACGUCCCAUCUGCAUACCAAUCAAAAUCACAAAAUUAAUGCUGUUAACUAUAUAUGGCUGCUGCUCAAACAAGGAAGGACGGGAAGAGAGAGGGAGAGAGAGAGAGAGAGAGGGGUUUUAUAAUAAGUAAUUAGAACAAUUAUUUUAAUUUAAACAAAACUAUUCAAUCAAAAAUUUUCCUCAGAUUGUACAUAAAUUUUGAAACUUUUUCUCUCUCUUUCUAUGUAUAUAUUUAUAUUUACAUAAAGCUGAGCUGAAAUAUUUUUAAAAAUAUUAAGAUAUAUCUCGAUGCAUGUAAUUAAUAUUGCGGGGUUUAUUUAUCAUUGUGCAUAAUUCAAAAUUUGCUAGCAUUAAUCUAAUAGUCAAAAAAUUAUAGCACCCACGUCCCGGUGCUUAAUUAUAAAAGCACUACUCCAGCUACCGUUUAUAAAAUAGAAUUAAUGGAUUACGUACAUAUCAUAUAUAUCUUAUGUAAUAUAUCUAUUAAAAAAAAAAGAAAAGACUUAAUUAGAGGGAAAGAAAUUAAGGAACAAAAAGAGUAGGUAAUUGAUCGUGACGUACGCACCGUUGGGGCCUGCGGCGAUAAUGAACAUCCCGGGGUUCAUCCAUGCAAGUAGAAGUAAUUUCUGGAGCAGGAGAGCUGCAACAGCGGGCGCUCUCAUGUUCGUCAACAGGCCAGGGCAAACAGCGAUCGAGCUAGCUUAUUAGAAGAAAUCUUCAAGUUAAUUCGACGUACUCGAGAAGAGAUGGAUCUAGUUUUUUACACGAUCGAUACUCGAGGAGGGCGGAGUAGCUAGCCGUGUACUUA